rnacentral:rRNA from 1 species
AUUGAACGCUGGCGGCAUGCCUUACACAUGCAAGUCGAACGGUAACGGGCCUUCGGGUGCCGACGAGUGGCGAACGGGUGAGUAAUGCAUCGGAACGUACCUUUCAGUGGGGGAUAACGUAGCGAAAGUUACGCUAAUACCGCAUAUUCUGUGAGCAGGAAAGCAGGGGAUCGCAAGACCUUGCGCUGAUUGAGCGGCCGAUGUCAGAUUAGCUAGUUGGUGAGGUAAAGGCUCACCAAGGCGACGAUCUGUAGCGGGUCUGAGAGGAUGAUCCGCCACACUGGAACUGAGACACGGUCCAGACUCCUACGGGAGGCAGCAGUGGGGAAUUUUGGACAAUGGGGGCAACCCUGAUCCAGCCAUGCCGCGUGAGUGAAGAAGGCCUCGGUUGGUAAAGUAC